rnacentral:rRNA from 1 species
GAACGGGUGAGUAACACGUGGGUGAUCUGCCUUGCACUUCGGGAUAAGCUUGGGAAACUGGGUCUAAUACCGGAUAGGACAGCUGUUUAGUGUCAGUUGUGGAAAGUUUUUUCGGUGCAAGAUGAGCUCGCGGCCUAUCAGCUUGUUGGUGGGGUAAUGGCCUACCAAGGCGUCGACGGGUAGCCGGCCUGAGAGGGUGUACGGCCACAUUGGGACUGAGAUACGGCCCAGACUCCUACGGGAGGCAGCAGUGGGGAAUAUUGCACAAUGGGCGGAAGCCUGAUGCAGCGACGCCGCGUGGGGGAUGAAGGCCUUCGGGUUGUAAACUCCUUUCGACAGGGACGAAGCGUAAGUGACGGUACCUGUAUAAGAAGCACCGGCUAACUACGUGCCAGCAGCCGCGGUAAUACGUAGGGUGCGAGCGUUGUCCGGAAUUACUGGGCGUAAAGAGCUCGUAGGUGGUUUGUCGCGUCGUCUGUGAAAUUCCGGGGCUUAACUCCGGGCGUGCAGGCGAUACGGGCUGACUUGAGUGCUGUAGGGGAGACUGGAAUUCCUGGUGUAGCGGUGAAAUGCGCAGAUAUCAGGAGGAACACCGAUGGCGAAGGCAGGUCUCUGGGCAGUAACUGACGCUGAGGAGCGAAAGCAUGGGUAGCGAACAGGAUUAGAUACCCUGGUAGUCCAUGCCGUAAACGGUGGGCGCUAGGUGUAGGGGGCUUCCACGUCUUCUGUGCCGUAGCUAACGCAUUAAGCGCCCCGCCUGGGAGUACGCCGCAAGGC